GGGGCUUUAGCUCAGUUUGGGAGAGCGUGCGACUGAAGAUCGUACGGUCCCGUGUUCGAUCCACGGAAGCCCCA